GAGGCACCAACAGAGAAUAGGAGUAAAAGCUUCAAGCAGACUAUUAGGCAGCAGACAACGAUCGCUUCAGAGAUUCAGAGGAUCUUCCCAGAGAGAGAGCUUUUGUGAGAGAGAGCUUCUUGUAAAAGAGAGAUUGAGUGUACGAGGGUUGAGAGUGUGAUCUCUUCUUAUAAUUUUUUUUCUUCUCAUAGUGAAGUUUGCAUACCCC
rnacentral:lncRNA from 1 species